rnacentral:rRNA from 1 species
AGCGAACGCUGGCGGCAGGCCUAACACAUGCAAGUCGAGCGGCCGUAGCAAUACGGCAGCGGCAGACGGGAGAGUAACACGUGGGAACGCGCCCUUCGGUUCGGGAUAACUCAGGGAAACUUGGGCUAAUACCGGAUACGCCCUUACGGGGAAAGAUUUAUUGCCGAAGGAACGGCCCGCGUCCGAUUAGCUUGUUGGUGAGGUAACGGCUCACCAAGGGGACGAUCGGUAGCUGGUCUGCGAGGAUGACCAGCCUCACUGGGACUGAGACACGGCCCAGACUCCUACGGGAGGCAGCAGUGGGGAAUAUUGGACAAUGGGCGCAAGCCUGAUCCAGCCAUGCCGCGUGGGUGAUGAAGGCCCUAGGGUUGUAAAGCCCUUUCAGCGGGGAAGAUAAUGACGGUACCCGCAGAAGAAGCCCCGGCUAACUUCGUGCCAGCCGCCGCGGUAAUAC